UUUAGCCAUCUAUAUAGGUUUCAUGGUCUCUAUGUCUGCUGUCUUUGUUCCUCAUAGUUCUCCUUGCCCUGCCCUCUUAUGCUCUCUCAAUGUUUCUCUCUCUAUGUUCCCACUGCCCACCUUACACGAUCUCGAUCUUAGUCUCUCUCUAGGUUUCCCACUCUCUCUCUCUCUCCAUUCAUGUGGUAUUUCUCUCUCUCCCUCUUGGUUUUCUUCCACCUUCUCUCUCUAGGUUUAAUGGCUUUCUUUGCAUUACAUUCCUCUUAGUACUGCACCUUAUGUGUUUGGUAAAAUGCCCAACAAGUAUUUUUUAACUUGUGAAAUUUUCCUUAUGAGCAUAGUAUGUUUUUUUUAAUUUUAUUUUUAUUAUUUUUAUUUUUCAUUUUAAAGAAAUAUUCAGCUCAUGGUUUAUUGGGAUAUUUGGUAUGGAGGACAUAAGUUUUGAUUUUUAUACUUACAGGUCCUUAUAAUUAUUCGUAAAUAUUUGGUUCUUAAUAGAUAUGUAGUGGCCUUAAUUUUUCAGUUUUUUCCUUGAAUUUACCUGGAAAUAACUCUAUCAUGGAG
rnacentral:lncRNA from 1 species